rnacentral:rRNA from 1 species
CUGCCCAAUGAAUAUUUAAAUGGCUGCAGUAUAAAUAACUGUACAAAGGUAGCAUAAUAAUUAGUUUUUUAAUUAAAAACUAGAAUGAAAGAUUUCAUGAAAUAUAAACUUUAUAAAAAAAAAAAUAAUUUAAAUUAAAAUUUAAGUUAAAAUUCUUAAAUAAAAUUAAAAGACGAGAAGACCCUUUAGAAUUUUAUAUAAAUUAAAAUUAAAAAUAAAUUAAUAAAUUUAAAAAUUUUAAAAUAUAUUUAAUUGGGGUAAUUUUAAAAUUUAAUAAACUUUUAAAUAAAAUAACAUAAAUUAAUGAACUAAAAAUCCUAAAAUUUAGAUUUUUAAAAUAAAUUACCUUAGGGAUAACAGCAUAAUUUUUUUUGAAAGUUCACAUUAAUAAAAAAGAUUAUGACCUCGAUGUUGAAUUAAGAUUAAAUUAAAAGCAAAAAUUUAAUAAU